GCGGAGGAAAAGAAACUAACAAGGAUUCCCCUAGUAACUGCGAGUGAAGCGGGAUGAGCUCAAAUUUAAAAUCUGGCGUCUUCGGCGUCCGAGUUGUAAUUUAGAGAAGCGUUUUCCGCGCCGGACCGUGUACAAGUCUCCUGGAACGGAGCGUCAUAGAGGGUGAGAAUCCCGUCUUUGACACGGACCCCCGGUGCUUUGUGAUACGCUCUCGAAGAGUCGAGUUGUUUGGGAAUGCAGCUCAAAAUGGGUGGUGAACUCCAUCUAAAGCUAAAUAUUGGCGAGAGACCGAUAGCGAACAAGUACCGUGAGGGAAAGAUGAAAAGCACUUUGGAAAGAGAGUUAAACAGUACGUGAAAUUGUUGAAAGGGAAACGAUUGAAG
rnacentral:rRNA from 1 species